AAAAACAGAGGAGGAGCAUUGACGAUAGAAGUACCGAUACAAUUUUUGAAGCUUGUUUUUACGUGUAAGAACCAAUUACCAUCAGUGAGCGGUUAUAGGAUGCAACUCAUCAAUCAUAUACAUUGUUGUUUUCUUACCGAACAAACAUCAAGUGGAAAAACUACAAACAAUCUUCAGUGUCCAUCCCCGCGGCACAUCAUCAUUCUUGAAACUGGAAAUAAAGAAAGGUCUAAAUUGGCAGUAAUAUGGUAUGAAAAAGAAUUAAAUAGUACUCAAGUCCAGCAGAUUAUAUAGACACUAAGCAGAAAAAUACACUCAAAUGGGUCAUGCUUUCUACUCCACAAUGCUUAGAACGGAGGGGAGUUAACAAAUCAAUAAUAGUAAAUAGGCUCAAAAUUACAAUUUGUUAUUAUCGUCGUUGGACGACCAAAAUUAGCAACACAAUCAGGGGGCCGUGUAGGCAUCUACGUUUAAUAACAGAAAAGGUAGGGGACGUGUAGGCAUCUACGUUUAAUAAUAGAAAAGGUAGACAUUAAAUAUACAGAAUCAUGAGAAUGUAUGUUCUUACAUUGAAAAGAUGUUCAUCGCCGUCAUUGGAAGGAGGCACAAAGAGACACAUAAUUUUCAGAUGUAUAACAGUAUAAGCACAUUUUACACUGACAAUGAUAUAAGCAGAAACGGAUCACACUAUAGUCCAUUUACUACAUGUUCUCAGUCCAUCUACUAUAUAGUCCAGUUAAUUACUGCAUGCUCAUUUCCUCUAAAUGUGAAUAUAUAUGUAACAUUGAGAACAUGAUAUAUCUUGGGGUCUGGGAUAACACAUCUAAAUCCUAGGUAGACAUCCAGGUAUCCUAUAAAAUUAGGAACAAUAAAAGCAGAAAAUACCAAGAUUACUAUGAUUUUGUUUAACUUGGGGCAUCAAAUGUUCAUGCAAAAGAUAAGAUCAUAAUAGAAAGGAUCAACAUAUUUCCAAUAGAACUCACCUUCUAAUUUUUUGAGGAUUCUUUCGGUACACAACAUAAGCCUUCAAACAUUUGAGCACAUGAUAUAUCUUGAAAACUGCAGCACCUUGUGCAAACCAACCUGCACAAAAGACACAAUGCAUUUUCUUUUCUUCAGAAACACCACUUUUG
rnacentral:lncRNA from 1 species